UCAAAAACCCUAUUUCUCAUUUUCCUUCAAUCACCGCCCCUUUUAUCUUCACAAGCCAUAAUAUUCUUUGUUCUCUCAUCCAGCCUUCUCUGUGGACUGUUUCGACGAUGGCGGUGUAGGUUUGGAUGCGAUGAAAACGAGUGUGAUGACGGCACAAGGGAGGUUUAUUCAGCAGUUGAUGGGAGAGGCGUCGGCGUCUAGGGUUGGGAAUUAUCUGCCGAUAACUCAUGGACAUUUGAAUUUGCUUGCGUCACUUUCCGGUCCUCUGCCACAAUCUUCGAACAACAAAGAUGAUGAUAACCACUGAAUUGUUCUUUAAACGUGUCUGCUUUUGAGAAAGCACAAGGAUCCAUGCCGGUUAAUUGGUCGGAGCAUCACCUCCUUCGUCCGCGUUUUCUUCGCACAAUUUGCCUACCUAAUUUCUUCCUUAUUCAACUCCUUUAAUAUCAGAACAUUCUUUUAUGUCAGGGUUGGCGGUGAGAGGAAGAAGAUGUAAGAGGUUAUUUGGACUACGUGGCUCAACUCCUGUUUUGUUCCGUGAUGGUGUUUUGUUCAUGAUAUAUGCUAAAGAAGAUUUAGAGGACAUGUACAGGUGAUGUAAUUGAUAAUCGUGAGUGUUUCCUUUUCAUCUUUCAUUAUUUGGUGGUCGAGUCUAUUAAUAUAUAUUAUUUAAGUCAUUGAACAUAGAUUAAAUUAGUUGUUAAGCAUGACUUUCAGACUCAUUUAGCCAUUUAGUGGGAUGGAUCAAGCAGAACACACGUACAUGCAGAAGCCACGCUCUGUUGAAUUGAUGAGCCCGGGCACAACUCAUUUUUUUUAUUAGCGUAAAAAACGUCAAUCUUAACCAGAACACAAUUAAAAUCAUGUAAUCCUUUUAUGAAAACUACUUAAAAGGGUGUAAAUGGGUUGGCGGGUUAUGAAUGAGUUAAAAGGGUUGUCGGGUUGACCUUAUAAUACACUUAAUUAAGGGAUUGUGGCCACCCGACCUGCUUUUACAAUCUUUGUCACGCGAACAUCCGAUGUCGUCGACUACCAGGUUCUGAUUAUGGUUUAUCAACAUAAACCCCCGUCAAUUAAGGUGAUUGAGCUUGAUUGAGAGUGGCACUAUUGAGGACAGGGAGACACUGGUCUCUUAGAAUAUUCAACGGAUGCGGGUUAGACUCACGGUGAUUACACCCAUGAUCGAAGGUAUACUGGAACUAGCGGAUCUGGUGGUGACGGCGUCUAGGGUUCCGCCACAAGCGGCAUAGACUGCUGCCAUGUGGUUAGAAAAGAAUCAUCGCCGUAUGAACGGGAAUGCAGGGAACAUUAGCUGGAGGGACUGUAGAGGUUGUUACAGGUUUGUGAUGUUUAAUGGUCCUAAUGCUGCUAAAAUCCAUUGAUUAUUGUACUAAAAAUGUAAAUGUUUUCUUUUGGUGACUAAAUAAUUGCUUGAGGAGGAGGAGUGUGACACCCAUGAUCUGAACAUAUUGAAAUUGUAGCUGCUGGGAUUUUCCGUCCAUCUUCUGAAAGCAUUUAGGCUACUUCUGUCCUGCACCAGAAACCCUAACCCUAACUGAACCCUUACUUCAAUAUAUAUUGUGAAGCACAUGUGCUCUUGAAUGAUGCAAGCCCAUUAGGAAAUACAAGAUAAUUUUGGUCAUCAUACGGGUUUGGGGAUUAUUUUGAUUGGCAUAUUGCUGCUCUUGCUAUUUUGACUCUUAAUAGAAGGCAUAUUUAAAACGAAGUUGCAAUACUGGAAUAUAUACAUCUCUUAGUUGAAACUGUGGACCGUCUUGGCAAUGUGUUACCGGCCGCACACAUCAGCCCCUGUUCUUCCCAACAAAUCGCCACCUGUUCUUCCCAGCAAAUCGGCGGUUCAAUCUUACAAAUCCAUGAACGAGAUGAUGAUGGAGAUGGUGCGACCCGGAUGCGAUAUUGACGAUUUUCCAGCGAUCUAGAUUUAACACCAUUGAACAUUUGUUAUGUCACUAAUGAUCUCGAUUCCCCAUCUUCUGGCUGACGAUUUUGACAUUCAUGGGGGUGAUGUAUCAUAUUCUCAGAUGAAUUUAUUUGUUGUUUUUUGUAUGGAUGAAAUAAACUUUCCUGUCUAGAUAAAUUGUUUUAUGAUCUAUUUGUUUGUCUGUAAUUU